UAACAAGCACUUUAUUAAUGCAGGAAUAGCUACUCAGUCGACACUUCAAGCCAACUCCACAGAUAGUGUAACCUCUGUUACAGACUUGUCCAGUGUAAGUUUAAAUAAUAAUUUUAACUUUGUUCCUAUAUCGGUCUUUGAAGUACGAGAGGCACUGUUAGGCUUGGACUGUAAAAAGUCCGCUGGCCAAGACCAGAUUGAGCCAUAUAACUGCUGCAAACUUGAUUGCAGAUCCAAUUUCCUCCAGUUUUAAUCUUAGUUUAUACAGUGGAUCUAUCCCCAAGUCAUGGAAAUCUGCAGUUGUCCUCCCACUGUUAAAAAGUGGAGACCCGUCAGCCUUAGAUAAUUUUGACUGUCUGUCUUGGCGAAAUUGUUUGAGUCUCUUAUAAAUGAGCAAAUAAAAUUUUUUUUGGCUGACAACUGUAUUUUAAGUCCCACUCAGUCUGGUUUCCGGCAAGGACAUAGUAUAAUUAUAUAAUUACGGCUUUAACCUCUGUUAUGAAUGAUAUUGCUAAUGCUUUGGAUGACAAAAAGUCUUGUGUUGCUUUAUUUAUUGAUUUAUCUAAAGCAUUCGACUCUGUUGACCAUCAUCUUCUUCUGCAUAGAUUGCAAAACAUAGGCUUUAGUAGCAAUGUGCUAAAUUGGUUUUCUAAUUACUUGAGUGGUAGAACUCAAUGUGUGGCAUUACAUGACUGUACUUCAACCCUGCUAGACGUAAAAAUGGGUGUUCCUCAAGGAUCAGUUUUGGGCCCUAUUUUAUUUUCUAUUUAUAUAAAUGAUUUAGAAAAUACUAUUAAUUACUUCAUUAACAAAAACAGCUAUUGGUAAAAAGGCUUUCUCAACAUAUGCCCCAAAUGUCUGGAAUGAACUCCAAAA